UUAUAGAACAUGUAUACAUGACAUGCAGACACAUUAUUCACUACUAUUAGAAUGGGGUCCCCCAUGACAUAUUGACAUAUUAUUCACUACUGUUAGAAUGGGUUCCCCCAUGACAUAUUGACAUAUUAUUCACUACUGUUAGAAUGGGUUCCCCCAUGACAUAUUGACAUAUUGACAUAUUAUUCACUACUGUUAGAAUGGGUUCCCCCAUGACAUAUUGACAUAUUAUUCACUACUGUAAGAAAGGGUUCCCCCAUGACAUUUUAGCAUAUUAUAC